AUCCGCGUUCCGGGUUUCCAGCUCUCCGGCUGGGGCGACUUCCGGCUGCGCGCUUCCGAGUCUCACGGUCAGGUUUUGGAGUCCUACUUGGCGCUUCUCGGGCGCUCGGCUCGGGACUGAUGAACCAAUAAGUACUUCAGGUGGAGACCGAGUCGGUGGACGAGGGAAAGUUCGAAUAUUUUUCAGGGAGUAAAUAUUUUCCCAUAAAAGCCUUUGUCUCCUCCCGCCCGGCGGAGCUUUAGACUUCACCCGAACUCCUCCCCGAAGUGCGUCAUUUUAGAGUGUAAAGCAAACAUUAGCAGCCCUGCGUGACCGUAACCCCCGAGUUAAGAAAGGGCGGGUUCAGAAAGCAGCACCCUGUAGAAAGCCACGGACGCAAACCAGAAAGAGCUAACAGCAAAGGCGGUUUGCACCGGCUGAGCGCGCUACGACCUAGCUAUGCGACCCUUGAAGGCACGCGAGUUCAUCUAGAGAGAAAGGAGAGUAGGAAGAAUACAAAAGGAUGCUCUUCCAACCGAGUGGGAACGAGGAAAUGAAAAAACCUAGGAAUAUAAUUCUUCCGCGAGAUGCUGACCGCUUUUACAACACAAGGAGCCGUGAAGUGUGUCCACACACGCCCUGUCUCCAAUACACCACCAGAAUGAACUUUGGGCUGGGCGCGUCAUGACAGCUUCCAUUGUGGAAAGAAGCAGCUGCUGUCUCCAACAACAAAAGGGGGCUUACGUAUUUUUCUGAUACUACCAAACUUAGACCUUCACUGUCGCAGCUUCUGCCCCAACCUUGUCAUUACUAUCCCACCUCAGAUAACAGCACCUUUGCCUCAAACCUCAUUCCCUAAAGCCCACAUGCUGUUCUCGGGGCCACCGAAUUAUAGACUGAGUCCUUUGGUGGUCCCCAAGCUCAGAACUACCCUCAGGCCACUGUGCGGGUCUCCUCUGCUUCUAUGUGUGUGAGAGGAAUUGAGUGGUUGUUCCUCGAUUCCACCGGUGCCCCCACGAUAUCCAUGUUGGGAAUGUGUUUAUUUGUUCACCGUCCCACUUCCCACGGACGCAGGGGCCUGGUGUCUGCAAUUUCCACCUCUAUAACCCGGGCCUAGAGAACCGAAGACGAAGCUAACUAGAAAUUGCGCGGUCCUGGUGGGCGGACGACAUAGGCUCUAGAUCUGAAUUUAGAGUGGCAGACUUUCGGCGCUGAAGUCUGAAGUUUUCCAGAUACAUUUAACCCGCUCUUUCACAGAGCAAGAAAAGCCUAAGACGGAGAACGGCUUCCACGGUGGUGGCCUGGGCUACUCCGUAACGCUGAACCCACGGUGACUUGUGGGCUUUUUUUUCCCUCCAGUCCCCGCCACUGUCAUACUCUGGGCAAAGUAGACACAGGAAAAACAAAAACGGAAACGGUAUCGGGAUUGGGGACAAGUGAUGGCCCAGAGCGCUGACGGGGCGUACGCACAGCCCGUGCACCAACGCCUCUUUAUUUUGACACGUCACCGCGCCAGGCCGCCUUUUGGUUGGUAGGCCCCUACUUCCGGAUCCGGUCUUCUCGGAGCAACGCUUCCCCUGCGGUUCCCUAGGUUACCGGGGGCGGGGCGGGUCGAUCCAGGGUUGGGGAGCUGCUGGUUGGCGACCACUGUUGGAAGAAGAGUUCCCUUCCAAACUAGUAUAAAGGGAAAGUUCCUCUGCGUUAUCCCCACGGACGGUGAUGCUCUUUUCCUCGGACUACUGAUAACUCUGGCUGGAGCAAAACCCGAGGAAUGUGAUUUUCUCCCAUGCUGCACACUGCAGUUGUCAAUUCGGAGAAGCUGAGGGAAGGGUACUUUUAUCAAUAAUGGAUACGAAGUUUCAGUACAGAAUGAUGGAAAGUGUGUGGGAGCGAUGAAGUGGUGGCUGCACAAUUCAGCGUACCAUGUCUCUGAGCUUUGCACUCAAAAUGGUUAAACUCAAAUUUUAUUAUGUAUAGUUUACCACAGUUAAAUAAAAAUCCAGAAUUCCUCUUUUCA